AAAUAAUCCUUGAAAAUCUAAAUAGCUUGCCACUGCAACUUCAUAAUCCAGGUGAAUUAUCGGCUUAGACACUAUUGCAAGAAAAAAAGGUAAUAAAAAUUCCCCUUUUCUAUCAUGGAACUACAUAACCACGAAAAUUUAAAUUAUCGUAGUUGGCUGCGCCGAUUGACACACUAAAUAAUAUGUACUAGUUGACUUAUCACUUUCGCGUCAUGGUACAAAGAUCACCAGAUGACGCAAAUGCAUUUGCUUCGUUUUUUUUCGAUUCUGCCCUUGCCGGAUUCUAAUGAUCCCAUCGAUUAUGCAUUCCUUGUUAAGCUUAGUUUUAUCUUCGUUUAGUAAGCUAUUUAUAAUAAUAAAACGUUUAGAGGCGCAACUAUUGUGAUAAUGACUCAGCAGGUCAACAGAAUCAUACCCCAUGCGCCCCGCCUCUAUUCUUGAUUGUUCCAGGUAAAUGUAUAAAUAAGCGGGUAGUACAUCAGAGCAUCGAAAGUCAUCUCAAAUCGAGAGCGCAUAUUCAAUUUAAUGAACAUGUUGUUCAAUAACGCUAAUCCAAAUAGGACAGUACUAAUUGUGAUUUCAUUCUGCUCACUUUUCGUUUUUCGGUCAACUCUAGUUAAUGCCUUCAUUCUGAGGCAGACACACACACACACACACACACACACACACACACACACACACACACACACACACACACACACACACACACACACACACACACACACACACACACACACACACACACACACACACACACACACACACAC